AUUGAACGCUGGCGGCAGGCCUAACACAUGCAAGUCGAACGAGUGGCGGACGGGUGAGUAAUGUCUGGGAAACUGCCUGAUGGAGGGGGCUAACUCCUGGAAAAGGUAGCUAAUACCGCAUCCCAUCAGAUGUGCCCAUAUGGUAUUGGCUUGUUGGUGGGGUCACGGCUCACCCAGGCGACGAUCCCUAGCUGGUCUGAGAGGAUGACCAGCCAGACUGGAACUGAGACACGGUCCAGACUCCUACGGGAGGCAGAAGUGGGGAAUAUUGCACAAUGGGCGCAAGCCUGAUGCAGCCAUGACGCGUGUAUGAAGAAGGCCUUCGGGUUGUAAAGUACUUUCAGCGGGGAGGCGUUACCCGCAGAAGAAGCACCGGCUAACUCCGUGCCAGCAGCCGCGGUAAUUC
rnacentral:rRNA from 1 species